AGCAAUGUUCGUGAUCUUGUGGGCCUUGUGCAAGCUCACUCCCCUAGUAUCGUCUUCCUUUGUGAAAUUAGGCAGUCUAAGAAUAAAAUGAGUAGGUACCGUGCUCGGUUAGGGUUACGAGGUUUUGAUGCUUCUGCUAGCGUUGGUCUUAGUGGUGGUCUUGCUUUGUACUGGCAUGAGUCCUUG
rnacentral:rRNA from 1 species